UCCCUGGUAGUCCAGUGGGUAAGACUCUGCACUCCCAAUGCAGAGGCCUGGGUUUGAUCCCUGGUCAGGGAA